ensembl:lncRNA
CUCCCUUCUGGGUGGAGGCUGCAGAAUAUCACUGUACAAAUACAGUUUCUUCCCAUCUGCAGGUGGGUUCAUCAACGUUUUAAUGUGCCGAUUUAAUAUUUGGUAACCGUAUUUUAUCAUAAAUUUAUGAAUCUUCAUAUUUCACUACAAUCACUGAGCAAAUUCUGUUGAAUGUGUGUUAGAAAAAAUGGAAAGAAAUGGAAGAGAGUCAAUAAAACCUUACAACAUUAGCCAACACAGCCACCAUGCUGUUCCUGUUCCUGUCUGAUAAAAUCAUCCUGAAAAAAAACACUUUCAUAGAUUCUCUGUCCACUAAGACAGAACAAUAAUUUCAUUUCCGCAACAAUGUGUAACUCACUUGGCAAUAAAUAUGCCAAGUUUUUGAUGCUGUUAGUAUAUCGGCUGGUUCUGUAAAGCAAAGCUCUUACAGAUUCUUUGUUUCAUUACUCCUUUCUUUAGUAAAGUCAGUACUCAUCUUGCCUGUUUGUGCUUCUCUUCCCCACUGACUUUGUACCACUUAUUGACGUGGCAAUCAAACAGAGAGGCGGUUUUCAAAGUACAGUAAAGCACACAAUGAGGUCAAUUACGUCUGCAAGAGUUGCUAAUGUCUUCCUUCCUUGCUUUCAAAUGAUUGUCUCCCUCCCAUCCAUUAAUGCGAGAUGAUUAGAGCCAUUACAAAAUAACCCGAUCCAUUCAGCCCUACUUACGCUCAGCGGAUUACAUUCAUGACUCGCGUUCAGCCCCCUGGGCAGAAGUCCACGUAGGCCGGCAGUAAGCGCUGGAUGACUUUGUGCUCUGCUUUCUUGACCACUGCCAUAUUAUACCUAUCGUCGACAUAUACGGACUGGACAACUGGCUAGGUAGCUGGUUGGCUUGUCCAUUUCCAGAGGCUCCCCGGGCCCCUUAACGAGAGCACACUGUGUGGGAUGGGUUGAAUCUUUUAUCAGAUAAAAUGUAUGCAAGAGCGAUUGUGGUACCCAACAAUACUGCAAGAGUGCUGCAGCAAACACUGUGAUGGCAUCAUUUAAAAGAUAUUUUUCCAGUGCUUGUAUGGUUAAUAUACCAUAAUAAUAUUAGUGCUGAGCAAAGAUGAAAAAAUUGAAUCGAUUAAUCGCUGGACUUUUCUGUGAUUAAUGGUGAUUAAUCGCAUUAUGCGCAAAAUGUAAUAAUUCAAUGAAAACCAGUGUAUUGCACACUUUUAUUUUAAAGUAAUGUUACCAGAACAAUAUAGAAAGAAACAUUUGUCUUUUAUCAGGGAACAGUAUAAUGCAGCAUAUGUUCAGUAGGAAGGGUCCCUAUGAGGUGGUGUACUCCGGGCUCCUAGUACUCCAGCCUCCGUGUACUCCGGGCUCCUAGUACCACAGGCUCCUAGUACUACAGGCUCCUAGUUAUCCGGGCUCCUAAGACUCUAGGCUCCUAGUACUCUAGGCUCCUAGUACUCCAAGCUCCUAGUACUCCAGGCUCCUAGUACUACAGGCUCCUAGUACUCCAAGCUCCUAGUACUCCGGGCUCCUAGUACUACAGGCUCCUAGUAAUCCGGGCUCCUAAAACUCAAGGCUCCUAGUACUCCGGGCUCCUAGUACUCCAAGCUCCUAGUACUCCAGGCUCCUGGUACUACAGGCUCCUAGUACUCCAAGCUCCUAAUACUCCCGGCUCCUAGUACUACAGGCUCCUAGUAAUCCAGGCUCCUAAGACUCUAGGCUCCUGGUACUCCGGGCUCCUAGUACUAUAGGCUCCUAGUACUAUAGGCUCCUAGUACUCCAAGCUCCUAGUACUCCAGGCUCCUGGUACUACAGGCUCCUAGUACUCCAAGCUCCUAAUACUCCCGGCUCCUAGUACUACAGGCUCCUAGUAAUCCGGGCUCCUAAGACUCUAGGCUCCUAGUACUACAGGCUCCUAGUACUCUAGGCUCCUAGUACUCCAGGCUCCCAGUACUCUAGGCUCCCGGUACUCUAGGCUCCCAGUACUACAGGCUCCCAGCACUACAGGCUCAUAGUACUACAGGCUCCUAGUACUACAGGCUCCUAGUACUCUAGACUCCUAUUACUCUAGGCUCCCAGUACUCUAGGCUCCCAGUACUACAGGCUCCUAGUACUUCGGGCUCCUAGUAUUCCGGUGAUAUAUAAUUUGUAGUGGUUACAAAUAGCUCUGCUUUUAUCGACUGCGCCACCUGGUAGGGCUUUCAAGAAAAAAGCGUGAGACUUUUCUAGAUUUUCUCGGUUGACGUGUGCAGCAGUUAUAAGAACGACCCAAAGCUCAAAAACAUCCCGUUAACACACGAGACAAUGCUGAAGUUAAUGGAUACAUUAUAGAUCACAAACAGAAACAUGUUUUCCUCUCUUCAUUCACUCAUUUAAUUUAACUUCCGUUUUCAAUUUCAUGGUUGUUUGUCCUACGGAUCCGCGCCUUCUGUGCUCUCCCCCCGCGGGAGCACAACAUGCUGCGUACACAGACACACACACACACACACACGAUCACAUGAAGUCAUCAAUACUUGACCGGGGCAUUGGGCUGCACGUUAAGUACAAAAAACCCACAUACACAUCAGCCACACACGCACAUACACACUCCACUCCGUCCUCUCUGGACUGUCUGCAAACGGAGCGCUAUGAAUCGUUCAGCAUCGAUUUGCCCUACAUUUGUUCCAGAUGUAUCAGCUUCUGUGUUCGUCCACUUCACGACGCGGAUUCCAGGCCUGGGAAGCGUGUCACGUUUUAAUCAACACACCCCCUUUUUCACGCGUGCUACUAAGUCGAACUUUGGCCAAACACUCUCAACGCCGCACUCAACACACUUGUUUGUGAUGACCAGGGACUUUAACCACGCUCGGCUUCCUGCUCAAACGGACAGAAACUGGAGAGAACCCCCAUCAUGUGGCCUAAAUUAGAGAACGUCAUUUCAUGCUUCGUGUAGCAACGUCGUGCAUUUGCUUUGAUUCAGAGGUUCAGAUUGAAGACCCUGUACAUCAGCUCUGCUACUGUUAAAAACGGUGGGAAAACCUUUUUUCCCACAUUGUGUUGUGACUGCUGAGCGUCCGAGGAAAAGCGGUAAAACAAGUAGCCACGUGGCACAAACGGCAAUGACAGGGAAAACGGGAACUUUCUAAAGGCAAAAGCAGCCAGCGGACGUUUUCCUUCAAGCAUGGCAGAGAAACCAGAAUUGAGGAACCGAGGUCAGCUGCUGCUUUACUCGGUACUUUUUUUAAUGGAAAAGACGUGUAAAAGCGGAGAUUCGACUUUGUCCCUGAAAGCAACUUGUGCUCUGCGCGUCGUUACUUUAAGGAUGAAUGAAGCGGGAAGCCGGUGGUUCUCGCUGACGUCGGCGGGCGUAAACCGACCCGUUGACCUUCCCCUUAUCGUGGCGUUUCCUCUCACAGCAGCGCAUGGGUCACUGAGGGGGGGGGAGGAUCGCCUUUUUUACACCUUCUUCUACAAACGUGUAGCACACGCACAGGAAUAGAAAAGUCCCAUUUCAGAAAGCGGAACCGACACAGAGGUUAAAGCUAGCGACGGUCAUCUAUAAUAGAAACAUGCCAUGUCGUGUGAGUCGAAAAGCGCUGGUUCCUCCUCCACGCCGCUGCCCAUUUCUCCUUUGACAGCCUUUUCUUUCCGUCUCCGCUCCAUUAGUCGCCGUACUCGUGACGUCACUUCCCGCCCGGUGCCACAGAAUGGCGUGAUGCACCCGAAGGGAAUCGACUUCUUUCUCGUCGGUGAACCUUUAGCGGGCGGGGAGGACCGACGGCGAGGACGUCAGGAGCGAGUGACUGCCGGCCGGCUGACGUCAUCGCCGCUGAAGGGCGGGUGUUGCUACGGGAAACGGCACAAAGUCCAGGCCCCAAAGACAAACACAGUUAUGCGUUUGGUCGGGAGAGAGUCAGGCAAGUGUUUGGCCAGACAGCAGCAAUCACUUGGGAGUCUUGCAAAUGACCAUAUUUGGAAUGUGGAGGCGUGUCAGUCACAGUAAGCCCCGCCCCAAAGCAUUCCCUGCUUCAUUGGAGUCUAAAUGGACCAUCACUUGCUAAAUGAACUUAAGCUAGAGACCAUAAACUCAUGUUUACACUGUUUACUGAGGGAAUCAGUGGAGGAAGGAGUCAUUUUCUCACAGGCUUGUAUGUGUACAGGGAGUCUCCCCCUGCGGGGGCUUAAUGGGAAACACCUCAAAUAGUACGAGAACUGAACCAGGUGAUCACGUCCCAAUGUCGAGCUAUUACAUUAUUCAUAAACAUGACCAAUUAACGUUAUUCAUCACAUCAUCUGCACUUUAGCCGGUUCCUCUAAUUCUUCUGUUCACACAUGAAUGUUAGAUUUAAAGUACUUCUGUAUCUUGUAAAGCAAUUUCCCCUCUUUACUGUUUAUUCACUGAAGCUGUUUCAUGUUUAUGGUCUUGCUUUACGUUCAAUACUAAUUCCCCUGCAGGACCAGUAAAGUCAUCUAGAGUAAUGCAUCUUUGGCCCCCUGUUAUCCUGGAUGGGGGGAAAACGCAGAGGCCUUAAAGUCCCCGGACGUACGCAGGCCGCAAUGACGCACUACAUGGGCCUAUUUAGACGGCAACGAGCAAUAAGUGGACGCCGUCAACGCAAUGUCCCCCCCCCCCCACUGGUUUGUGGACCACCGUUUUGCGGCAUUAAGUCGCGGCGCUUUUGGCAGCGACAUCUCGGAUCACGCUGGUCGCCGUCUUGAAGUUACGAUAGAGGAGAGCAGUGAAAGAGACACCGCCCGGUCUGAUGGUGAGUUUGACUCUAAAUGGACCAUCAUUUACUAAAUGAUUACUAAAAGAAAGAUUCUAACAGUCAACAAGCAAGUCUGUUGGACAGUAGAUACGAUCCGGUAAAUGAUGCCAAUGACGUCUCUACUUUUGAUGAAGUAAGUAGCUGCUGGUGCUGAUUGACACAUUUGAAUGAGACAUAACGUCUCCUUGCACCCGAAAGUGAGCCGACCCUGAUCGGUGCUGCAUCUGCAGCUCUGCAUUCUGGGUCCACUCAGCCUCACCUUCAAUGCUUUCUUCUUCACAUCUGUCACACCCGCUGCUCCUCCCGGAAGGAAAGAGGCAAACCCAGAUCCCGCUCUCUGCAUCCCGAUCAGCAGACGUAAAGCCGAGACCAGCGGUGGGAAACAUAAUCCCACUGCGCUCACACUGACGGGCUAACUAACCCCGUCUCAGGGGAAGAACAUCUGGACAGGCACUAAACAGGGAUGAGACGCACACUGUAACAAAUUGCUGUAAAUUUACGGUAUGUUACAGUAUGUCAUAAUAACUGUAACAUACAGUUAAAUUUCCAUCCCGUGCUUGUAAAUUAACGGCCAAUGUCAUGAAUAAACAGUUAAAGCUGUCAAUUUACAAUAAUAGCAGACUACCGUAAUUCAACUGCAUGUUACAUAUAUUUUAUGAGGUGGUGGAAAUACACAUACA